rnacentral:lncRNA from 1 species
UUUAUCUUUGUUUAUUUAAGUUGCCUAUUUAUUCAUUCAUUUGGGUCUCGAAGCCAAAGUUGUAAACUAAUACAGGUGGAAGACCAAAAUAUAUGCAUAUGUGAUUGAUAUAUGAUCUGAUAUAUACAUCAUAUAUACAAAAACGCAGGGGGGAAAUAGCUGAGUAUACAGCUGAUAUACAUGUGAAAAUGGAUUGAAAAUCCAUGGAAUUUAGGCCCAAAGUAUGAGCAGCCCAUAAAGGGGCAGAAAGGGUCCAAUUCUAACUCUUCCUUUAUUUCUUAUUCUUAUUUAUUUGUAUUUACUUGAACACCCUAACUAAUCAAUUGAGAUAAAUCCUCCUAAGUCGUAACCAAUUUGUUUUAUCACGUAUUUUAGUCGAUUCUUUUCUCACCUAAUGUAUCUUGUAACCUUUAUGUUAAUCUUUUUGAACACAUCAUGAAAUAAUUAAUCACGUUUAGGUUAACUUUUCCAAGCAUGAAAAGAAUUAGGUUUUGUUAAAUUGAAAAUUUUAAAUUCUCCUGUCAUCGAUUAAAUAUUUCCUACAUAAUAAUUUCUCUUAAAACUUAUUAUUUUAAAUUAACAUUGACUAUAAAAAGAAUAAAUUUUUCUUAAAAGCAAUAGUCUCUCUAAAAGCAAAAAUGAAUUACUAUUUUUAUUGUUAAAAAUGAACUUUUCUUUGAAAUUUUCUUUAGCCUAAAAAACUUGAUGAAAUAAAAUAAUUUUCAAAAAUCGCUUGAUUUAUGUUUGAUAUUUUAUAAAAAUUGAAAUUUCCGUAAAGUUAGCCACCCUUAUUUUAGUUAGUCUAAAAAAAUGAUCUUUUGGUGAAUCGUUCUAAACGGACGCUCCUAAGUGCCUUAAAAACCUUUUUAAAGCGUUAAUUGAACCCUUACUCAGAUUCUCUUUUUUAAAGAUUUAUUUCUGUUUUAAAGUCUUUGAAAUAUCGUUAUGUUUUUUUGAUAUUUUCUAUAAAAAUCAAGUGGCGACUCUGUGAGUUUUCUUAAAUUAUUUUGACAUUUUUCAAAGUUUUGAAAUAAUUUGAGAAGUCGAAAACCAUUUUCUCGCAAAUAAUUUGUCUUCCCUUAGAUAAAUUCAAAAAGGGAUAAAACAGAAAUGGUGACUCUGCUGGAGAUUUAUCUAGGUUCUAACCAAAAGAAAUCUAGGCUAACAAAUAAGGUUUUAUAAAUAUUUGUUUAUUCUAUCUCAUAUGCUUUAUGUGUUUAUCAUGUUUAUUUGAUAUAAACUGCUUAUGUAAUAUUGCUUUGUGUGAAUUAUUUGUUAUUGCUUUAUAUAAAUUGUCAUUUCAUUCAUGUUUCUUCCAUUUGGGAAAAUUAACACAGUCACACGUACACGUGAGGUGUGUUUCGCGCACCUGCAAACUUCUUUUAAAAUCCAAAUUCUAGGAGAGUUGGCGUAUGUGUGGUGUAUCCGGAUCUUUUUCUGUGUGAUCGCGUAGACUUCUCACUUGAGUUAUCCACUCGGAAACCUUGUGUCUAGUAAGCCAAAUCUUAGAAAAACUUAAGAUAGAGCUCCCCUGAAUAUAGGUCAUGCAUGCAUAAGCCUUAGGUAGUUUGACCCAAGAUAUCAUUCCAGGAAUUUAGGAAACACCCUUAUGUCAAAUGGGUUUGCGACCCGAUAACUAUCGAUCAUAUUAUGUGCAUGUGAUAAUGAUAAACGGAUUCAAACCUAAUUGUGAUACCACGAGUUAGGAAAACGUGCACUUUUAUUUUCAAACUCAAAGUUUGUAUUAAAUUAAUGGCUUGAAUCAAUUUGUCAUAAUUUCAAUUACUUGACGUUAGGCCCACCCUUGGCUCAAAAGGGUUACCCAAUUAGGAUGCACGUUUAUUAUUAUAUAUGCUUGUGUGAUAUAACUAUUUAUGUGCUUAUACUUGCUAUGUUAAUUCGAAUCAAAGGCGAAUUGAUCUAAUCCCUUUUUCCAUAGAGCAUCUCUAGGUAGAACUAUACUCCACUAUACAAAAAUUCGACCAAACAAUACUCUAAGUCUCCCAAGUUUCUCAGAGAAGUCCACAUUCAUUCUUAAAACUUCCAAAAUGAUCACUACCUUUUUAUGAACGUUGACUCUAGAAUAAAAAAAAGUCAUCAUGUUCGAACUACAUUUUGACCUGAUUCUUGUCCUGACAAGUUAUAUAGGUAACCCUGCGUUAGGUUUCGAUCCCUUCACUGUUUAGAGUAAUUUCUCCGGUACUCAAAACUAAGGCAAUUAUCUAAAACAGUUCAAGAAACGAUUUUCAAAAUUCUUCAAGAGCGCAAAUCAAUAGCUCCUCAAAUUCAAAUCUCAUUGACUUUAGUGUCUAACCAAUCUACCUACACAUCCUCACUCAAUUUGGGUUCGAGGAUACUCAGCUUCUUCUUUCAAAUGUCAUAAAUCAUUAAUUUUUUUCUGGAGCAUGAAUUCUUACUUUCAAAAGCAAAGUUCAACAUUCUUUUAAUCAUAAUAAUCUUGCCAACUACGACAAAAUAAUGACAUACCUUCUUCAAUGCUUGACCUUCUCAAUCUUGUCAGUAUACUGGAGUAGUGUCAAUGCUCUCCUCCUGAUGCCCAACAUCCAUCAUUUCGAUUGUUUGAUCGAAAUAAUUUUAAUGCUAAAAAUAGUUUCUUUCGGGUCGUCUCCACAUUAUUUUCAAAGAUGACUCAUUUUUCAUCAUCACUCAUCUUUAGUCUUCAUAAACAAUCGGAGACGAUAUCAGCGUAGAUCUACGUAGACAAUUGGAGAUAUCAUGCAUUAAGUCCUCGAAGACAACCGAUAGUCUUUACCACAAUUAAGAUAGUCUUCAUAGACAAUCGAAGAUAGUAUUCACCGUAGUCUUUGUAGGUAAUGGAAGACGUCAUUCAUGACAUAUUUUCUGUAGACAAUCAGAGACGAUAUUCAAUGAUAGUCUUCAUAGACAAUUGAAGACGACAAUCAAUAUCCAUAUCCAUAUAUAAUUGGAGAUAUCAUUCAUUAAAUCUCCGUAGACAAUCGGAGACGUCCUUCAAGUUUUCAUAGACAAUCGGAGACAUCUUUCAUUCCUAAGUCCUUGUAGACAAUCGGAGAUGUCAUUAUCUUCAAGUGUCGUAAACAUCCGAAGACUUCAUUCAUCUUUUCAAUUGGAAAUACAAUCCACAAUAAGACAUUUUUUUAUUUUCCAGAAUGCAGUGUUAGCCAUGAAUCAUACACUGAGGCAAAUUUUGAGAUCUGCCUUAAAGUUUAUCCUAUUUUCUCAUUUCAAACUAUGUAUGACCUGAUUUCUCCUUUGUGAGAUACGUAGGCGGCCUUUUGGCCGGGACCCUAUCUUCAAAACCUUCGUUGUCCUCCCUUUCUUGAAAGAAUAAAUAAUGUUAAAAAGAAAAAAAGUUGAGCCUUCCUCAUAACUUCCACCUAUCCAAAUCAUUGAGAAAAAUCCUGUUUAUUAAAAUUCUUGAGUCACCAUUACUUCAUGGAUCAAUUCACAUGUGAUGAGAACCAACUCUGUGUGUUUACUUCCUACUUGAUCAUCUUGCUUUGCUUAUUACUAUCGAAAUCUAACACAUCAACCUUUGAGUUGUUUUUACUUUACAGGUAAUAGAAACUACUCUGUGUUGGGACAAAAUGACCCUACUAGAUCAAAAUGAAUAAGAGGUCCCCCUCUUGACUAUAGCUUUGUUAUAGGAAAAGAAAAAUGACUAGUAGUAAAAAUGGGCACUACCAAUCAUUUUUCAAAACCUGUAAAUGAUGGUCUCGAGGAUAGAAUAAGAAAAUGUGAGGAAAGAAUUUUCCAAGACAACCGGGAUCAUGAAAAAUUAAUUGGAGGAAACAUUGUUUGAAUUGGACCUCCAUUUUACUCAUGACUUAUCGCCCAUCGUAUAAAAAUAACUUAAAGCCUGCUAUUGUAAUGUUAUGUCAUGUCAAUAAGCAAGAUAAUUAUAGCCUUAGAACAGUCAACAGAAGAGUCAUAGAGUUUGAGAAUUAAAGAAGCUUAAUAUAGAAGAAAUCGAAGGUUAUACUGAUGAUGUGAAAAUCUGGAACGCUCACUUACAAAAGAUUUUUCAUCAUGAUUAUGUGUAUGGAUGUGGAACUCUUUCAUGGCAAGGAACACAUCUCUCCAAUUUUUUGACAAGCUCUAUUGUUGUUGGCAUAGAUAUGAUGAUUUCACGAGCAUUAGGACUGAUGAAGCCUUGCUCCAUAGCUUUGUUAAUAAAUGACAAUAAUGAAUUAUAAUAUCUAUCCACAUUCAGCAAUCCUACCGGUUUAUCAUGGAUGCCAAGCUUUGCCCAAGUAAUUACUUCAAAUAACUCCUCAAGUGUGCCAUACCCACCUGGUAAAGUAAUAAAAGCAUCAGAGUGCCUAGCCAUUUCUAUUUUUUCUUUGAUGCAUAUCUGCAACUACCUUCACUUCCCCUACUGUUUCACCAGUUAACUCUCUAGGCAUGAUUGUCUUGGAAAUAACUCCAAUAACAUGCCUACCACCAUCAUGAACUGCUUGUGAAACCAAACCCAUUAGGCCUAUGCUACCUCCUCCAUAGACCAAAUCAAUGUCUCUUGAGACUAAUUCUUUGCCUAUCACAACAACAACAUCUUGAUAACUACUUUUCUUCCCAUGACUACUCCCACAAAACACACAAAUUCUCUUGAAUUUUGACACCAUAGCAUUACUUUCCAUUUCCAUUUUCAUAAAGUUUUUUCUACAUUUUUCUCUAUAGUAACUCUAUUCUUCUUUGAAAAAAAUAAAAAACUUUUUGAGCUAGUUCUUUUCUUGUUGCAAUCCUCCUCCUCUAACCUUCCAUAAUGAGGCCAAACAGGGCAACAAGUAGCAUCUGUUCAACUGUACAAACUUUUGGCAAAAGAAGGUUGUCGAGAUACAAUGUUAUGCUUAUUUUCAUUGAUUCCACCCAGAAACGAACAAAGGGUAAGUAUUGAAGAUACUGUGAAGACUGUAUGGAGAUCAAAACAAACACCUACAAGAAAACCAACGAAUGACAGUAACAAAAACUAGAUCUGGCUUUACAACCUUUGAAAGAAUACUAGCAACUUUUAUAUAAUAAAAAAAGAAAUCAUGGGCAAUUGUUGAUAAUCAAAAUAUCAUAAUGGUUAACUAAUCUGUUGCUCAGAUUUUGACAAAUAUUUGGAUAUUUCAUUCAUCAAAAUCCAACUACAUCCAAACCUAUCUAACUUUUUAUAGUGUAACAAUGGAAGCAAAUACCUUUGAAUGCUUCAAAUCGGCAACCCAGUGUAAGCUCGACCUUCAAUACAUGCAUAAAUGUCUUUAAUUCAUGUAAAAACUCAUUCAAAUUGGGCAAGAACUCGUUGAAAUCGUGAAUGGUUCUUGAGAGACAGAGAGAGACAGAGAGUAGAAAGAGAAACAAGGGAGGGGGCGGUUGAAAUGAGUGAUAACCCUAGAAGCCCCCUUUUCUAUUCUUUAAUAAUAAUUCAUUUUUUACGAUGAAUAAGUUAGUCGCUAAAUAAAAUAAAAUUUUGUUGCUAAAUCCGUUGCUAUGAAAUAGUUAAAAUAGCGACCAAUAUUUCGCUGCUAAUCUGUCACUAAUUUCAGGAGCCAAUUUUUUUCGCUAUUAUUUAGUGACGGAAUUACAAUUCCGUCACUGAUUCAUUACUAAUAACAUACCAAGAAAAAAUUGAGCAUGUGGCCAAAUUGAAUGUCCAUUACUAUAUAGUGAUGAAAAUCGAUCUAUCAGUAAAUUUCAUCGCUAAACACAGUUUUUUGUAGUGACUUUAGAUCUUUUCAAGCCAAGAUCAUCUCAAGUAGUAGUAAACUGGGGCAGAAUUUUUGAGAAGGAAUCUCGAAAAUUCACAAUGAUGAAAAUCAUCAUCCAAUAAAGAGAACGAAGAUUAACAAAGACUUCAGAUCUUCUCGAGCUAAGAUCAUCCCAAACAACUUUAAACUGGGGCAGAAAUUUUGAGAAAGGCCUAAAAAUUUCUACCAAACACUUCAAUAUAUUUUCAAAUUCCCCAGCACUAGAGUCAAAGUCAACUUUAAAAGUCACCAGCUGCGACAAAGUUUAGGUAGACUCAAUCUCCGGCUGUGACUGAACUGUUUGAAGAGCCCUCCAAAGAUGAUGAUCAAUUUUGGAAAUCUUCCGUCGGAUAUAGUCAGAACCAAGAGGAAGACAUUUGUUGGGCUCUUAUAUGACAUGUCUGGCAGAGAUUUUCUAAAACUUUUAUGGAAACUUUUGAAACUAUUUUCUAAAGUUAAGAUUUCUUUCAAAAUCUAUACAAAUCUUUUUAUUUAGUAAUUUCCUAGGCACCUAUUGGAAAUGAAAGUCAGAACGGAGGUCCCAACACGAUGGAGCACCCAAAAAAUGGCGAGGGGCAAACCAAGGAUCGAAGGACGUCAACACGGAGUAGUUUAUUUCAAAACUAACUAUUUUUCUGUGGAUGCAGGUUAUCCUAAAGCCAACAAAGAAUACAAAAAAGUCAAACAUCCCAAGGCCAAUAAGAAAGAGUAGGAUGGUUAAGAGCUCAAGACAACUGAGUUUCCCCAAAACUAACAGGUUUUUAUGGUUGCAGGUAUCAUAAAAUGUGGAAAGCAAAAUGAUGACUAACUCAAAUCCCCUGCAAAUUAGGGAUCAUAAAGAAUUUGUGACGUUCAAGAAUGGUAUAUGCCGAAGGUCCAGCAUACUAAUGGAUAUUCAAGGUAUGUGAGACGAUGACGUCUUUUGCAGGUAGCAACUCACACGGAGAUGUGGUAAAAGACUAUAAAUCCCUUAAUGAGUUAUGUUUAUUACUAACAAUUUUAUUUGAGAUAUUGUCGAGAGUAUCUGGAGAGGAUGAAAAUCUCAAAUCAAAAUAACAGGUACGGACGACUCCAGAGAGGAUACAACACAAUGUGGCACUCUUUCUUAGCAGCAAAAUGGGGCAUAGUCUAAAGAGGAACGUCAAACUCUUUGGACGCGAGCUGAAGGAUGAUCGCCACCACCAUCCAACCACAUCCCUAUUAAAAGGCAUGUGGGUACUUCAAAAAAUUUUUAUUUCAACUUCACCUUCGGGAUAUUUCUAAACUCAAGCUAAAGGUAAACGUCUCUUUCUUUCAAAAUUUGAGUGAUAAAACAUCUAGAGUUUUAGAAAUUAUGUCCAGGUAAAUUCUUACCUAUGGAUGUGAAGAGCUCCACGUUCAUGGCUAAGAGGUCAUAAGCCUCUUUUUUGCAACUCAAUCAACUUGUCACUUAUCCCAAGCCAAAGAUCGUCUGAAAUAAAAGAUCAUCUUUUCUACCGAUUGAGUCGAACUAUAAGCAGUCUGAUUCUUUGAGUCUCAGAAAUAUGUAGGCUGGGCUCUAUGCAGAAAACUAGGCUGUGUUCUAACCCCCCCCCCCUCUAAUUUCUUUCUUCCCCUAUUUUUCUGUUUCACCAAAAACUCCAAAACCGAGAUAGCUAGUGAAUCUUUUACAAAUCGGGCUUUAAUCAAGCUUUAUGAACUACAAGUGGCCUAAAUUCUCAUGUAACUUGAGAUAUGUAGGGAAGCCUGAUACCAAGGUCCGGCAUUAACUCAAAAACUCAUGCAAAAACCAACUUCUCUCCGAUAUGAAUUUGUGGUCGAACAAAAAUUAGGAACAUCAACCUCUCUUUGCCUAGGGUUACUUGCAUCCACCCUACCAAAGGGAGGGGGCAGUUGUUGACACCUAGUUUUUGCCCUCCACGACUAAAUUUAAUCCUAAGUUUAUUCAGUUUUUAAUAAAAUCAAAAUAUUUAUUUCAUCUAAAUAAAAACUUUUCAAAAUAUUUUUAUACGUAAUUUUGUUAUUUUUAAGCAGCGAUUAUGUAUUACCGUAUGUAAUUAUACAAAAUUAUAUAAUUUUGUUACUUAAAUAUUUAUUUUUACAAAAUAUCAAAUUUUAAUCAGGGCGUAUCAUGAAAUAAGUUCAAAUGAUUAAAAUGAUUUUAAUAUAAUUUAUUAUCAAAAUAAUUUAUUUAUUUUAUAUGAUGUUUGCGCUAUUUCAAACUUUUCUUAGAACAUGGUUUUUUUUACCCUAUGUUUUUUAAUUAUGAUUUGUCCAAAUCGGUAGUCGGUAUGCUAGUUUGCUCAUCGUAUUAUUAAACACGUAGUAAUCCUUAUCUCUCUUUCUCUUUGCAUGAAUUCUUCCGGAUGAGUUCAAUUGGACUCCCCAUAUCCCUGCAUUUGAACGUUGUCGAGUCGAGCCCCAUUAAAGUCCAAAAUCGAACUGAUAUACAUAGGAUAUCACAUGUAUAUGGACUGGUAUACAUUGAUAGAAAUUGUGUAUAUAUUGAAAAUCUCGUUUUUUUUACUUAUUCAUUAUUGGCACGUAUUUAUUUAUUUAUUUAUUUAUUUAUUUAUAUAUUUGUUUAUUUAUAUAUUUGUUUACUUAAGUUACCUAUUUAUUCAUUCAUUUGUGCCUCGAAGCCAAAGUUGUAAACUAAUACAGGUGGAAGACCAAAAUAUAUGCAUAUGUGGUUGAUAUAUGGUAUGAUAUACAUCAGAUAUACAAAAACGCAGGGGGAAGUAGCUGCAGUAUACAGCUGAUAUACAUGUGAAAAUGGAUUGAAAAUUCAUGGAAUUUAGGCCCAAAGUAUGAGCAGCCCAUAAAGGGGCAGAAAUGGCCCAAUUCUAACUCUUCCUUUAUUUCUUUUUCUUAUUUAUUUAUAGGAAAAAUUACAGAAAGUAGCAUACUUAAAACUAUAAUUACAAUAAAUAACAACACUUUUGUAAAAUUACAAUUUAUAGCAAGAGUAACAUUAUUUUGAUCA